AGUGAACGCUGGCGGUAGGCCUAACACAUGCAAGUCGAACGGCAGCACAGUAAGAGCUUGCUCUUACGGGUGGCGAGUGGCGGACGGGUGAGGAAUACAUCGGAAUCUACUUUUUCGUGGGGGAUAACGUAGGGAAACUUACGCUAAUACCGCAUACGACCUACGGGUGAAAGCAGGGGAUCUUCGGACCUUGCGCGAUUGAAUGAGCCGAUGUCGGAUUAGCUAGUUGGCGGGGUAAAGGCCCACCAAGGCGACGAUCCGUAGCUGGUCUGAGAGGAUGAACAGACAACAGUGGAGUGGGACACGGUCCAGAGCCCCACGGGAGGGAGCAGGGGGGAAAAUUGGGCAAAGGGGGGGAAGCUUGUCCAACCCUACCGGGGGGGGGAAAAAGGGCCUGGGGGUGGUAAGCCCUUUUGUUGGGAAAAAAAAGAAAGAGGGUUAUACCCCGCUUGUCUGAAGGGACCCAAAAAAAAAGCACCGGCUAAAUUUGUG
rnacentral:rRNA from 1 species